rnacentral:lncRNA from 1 species
ACAAAGCUAUUUGGAUCUUUCAUAGACACUGUAGUAGGAAAUCCAUCAAAAUAUAAACUCAGUGUUUACUUUUCUUUUUUUCUUCCCCAAGAACAUUUCAAAUAUACCACAUUGUCACCAGAGGCAAAUUGCAGCAUAGCUCUGUGUGUCUUUUAUAUGAAGAUUGUACUGUUGCUUUCAUGCUGUGUGAUUCCAUUAAUUUUCAUUAUGAACUAUACUUGCCUCUUUCAUCUCAGGAAGAAAAGACUAUGACUGGAGGGCAAUAUCGAGGGAGCUUCUGAUGCAAUGAGUCACUUUAAGGACACAGAAUCUCCUGCCCAUGCUGAAAGGACCAAUAUUUUCAUUGGAAGACAAAAAAAGUAAGAGGAAGUAAAAUGGUUGGAAAAGCCUCCUUUAACAGCUUGGAAGGAGAUAUAAAGAAGGAGGUGAAGAACAGAAAACAUUGUCUAAAGAUGAAGCUCCAGACCUUGGACUAUUUCCUGAUUCAGAAUGUGUG